rnacentral:rRNA from 1 species
AUUGAACGCUGGCGGCAUGCCUUACACAUGCAAGUCGAACGGUAACAGGUUAAGCUGACGAGUGGCGAACGGGUGAGUAAUGUAUCGGAACGUGCCCAGUCGUGGGGGAUAACUGCUCGAAAGAGCAGCUAAUACCGCAUACGACCUGAGGGUGAAAGCGGGGGAUCGCAAGACCUCGCGCGAUUGGAGCGGCCGAUAUCAGAGUGGGUAGUUGGUGAGGUAAAGGCUCACCAAGCCGACGAUCUGUAGCUGGUCUGAGAGGACGACCAGCCAAACUGGGACUGAGACACGGCCCAGACUCCUACCGGAGGCAGCAGUGGGGAAUUUUGGGCAAUGGGCGCAAGGCUUAUCCCGCCAUGCCGCGUGCGGGAAGAAGGCCUUCGGGUUGUAAACCGCUUUUGUCAGGGAAGAAAAGGUUCUGGCUAAUACCUGGGACUCAUGACGGUACCUGAAGAAUAAGCACCGGCUAACUACGUGCCAGCCGCCGCGGUAAUAC